UUCCAUGUCUAUGCCUGUCUCCUUGCCGACCACCAGCGCAGAAAACCCACCGGUCAAGAUGUUGGCUCACCACGUGGCGGUUACUGUUUUUUUCUCUGCUUACUUGGGCGACUCUGGGCAUCCAGUGCAGGGCAACCAAGCUGCCCAAGCGGUUUUCUGGAGUCGGCUCCUGACUCAGUAGUCAGGAAUCUGACUACGGCCCAGCGGUCCAGCAAAGUGAUGGAGACGCUUCCCAGCAGGGACUCAACGUGCAAGAUCAAAACACACACUGCUAAUAAAACUCCUCGUCUGUGACUGCUGCAAGAACGCAAACUGUCAAAA